rnacentral:lncRNA from 1 species
CCCAUCUCGGCCUCUGAAUAGCUGGGACUACAGGCAUGCACCACCAUACCCGGCUAAUUUUUGGGGUUUUUUUUGAGACGGAGUCUCACUCUUUCGCCUAGGCUGGAGUGCAGUGGCACAAUCUUGGCUCACUGCAACCUCUGCCUCCCAGGUUCAAGCAACUCUUCUGCCUCAGCUUCCCGAGUAGCUGGGACUACAGGCGCACGCCACCACACCUGGCUAAUUUUUGUAUUUUUUAGUAGAGACAGGGUUUCACCAUAUUGGCCAGGCUGGUCUCGAACUCCUGACCUUGUGAUCCGCCCACCUCAGCCUCCCAAAGUGCUGGGAUUAUAGACGUGAGCCACCGUGCCCGGCCUAAUUUUUGUAUUUUUUAAAGUAGAGUCAGAGUUUCGCCACAUUGGCCAGGCUGGUCUCAAACUCCUGACCUCAAGUGAUGCGCCCACCUCAGCCUCCUAAAGUGCUGGGAUUACAGGCAUGAGCCACUGCGCCUGGCCUAGAUAUUCAUUUCUACAACUCACUGAGCACCCACCCCGAUUCGGGACUCGGUACUGGGUAUCCAGGGAUGCGUAUGACCAGCUCUGCCCUCAAUAGCGGCUCAACACAGGGAGACCUUCAGGUUCUUGGAUAAACAAGCUCUGACGAUCAUUCCCAAACAAGAGUUCAAAAAUGUUUUCCGCAAUAGCAAUGAUAUGGACGGAAAGGAUGCCCUCCUGCACUGAUGCCUCUGGAGGACCACACUUUCCAUUCAGAGACACGCUCAGCACUCAACUCAUGCUGCACACCCGGCCGACCCCAGUACCGACACUCACAGAAUGCAGGUUGGAGAGAGAUGCCGACUUCCGAGGAGGUGUCUUCUUCGGACUGAACGUAUUCCCAAAGAAAGGCAUCUUUGGCCUGAUGAAAGCAAAGCCAGUGCUCCCUUCUCCUAGGGUCAGAAAAAGUCAGGGGUACAAGCAGCUGGAUCACUGACCUUAUGCCAUUGUCUUCAAAUCUUGAAGACAUACAUUUUAUCAUGUGGCUACUAACGAUCCUGGUGCUAUGGUUUGAAUGUCCCCACCAAAACUCAUGUUGAAAUUGAAU